UUUUUGAGUACUUUCUCCACCACUGCUUGUUCAUUUCACAAAUCAAGGUAUGGAAAAUUAAUGAAUGUCUUUUUUAUUUGGUAUCAGUAAUUAGUCACAAUAAAAGUAUUAAGCUGAUUCUAUACCUAUGAAAAUGUAACCGACAUAAUAAAAGAAGCUUAAGAAAAGCUCUUAUGUUCUUGGCUUUAUGGUUCUGAUGUCUGUGUGUUAGCUACGUUUUAGAUGUUCAGGCACUAUCAUAUUGAUUCUGGCUUGUUUUUUAAGAUCAGUCUUCUCUUCUUGCUUCAUGUCCUAAUCUCCUCAUUAACAGGCUUCUUCCUCACCCAUCCAUGUCUCCCUCAUACCCUCCUUCCUCCCCUUUAAAAACAUCCCUCAGUCUGAGCUAUCAUUCACUCUCUCUCCUCUCCUGCCUCCCCAUUCAGUGCCAUUAUUUGCCUCUCUGUCUCCACCACCAUGUCUUUCUCUUAGGCUUUCACUUACGUUUGUUCAAAAGCCUUUCCCCCCCUUCCUCUUUACCUCCCUCCUCCCUCACUCUCGUCUCUGCCAUAAACCUCCAUCUCUGGCUGCAUCGCCGCUGCGUACGAAGCGGAUGGUGGCAGCCCACUCAGUCCUCUCGGGGAGCAGAAGAGGCCUGCCACACAGAUGCGCCACCAUUGUUGGCUUGUGAGUCACAGCGAGGCAAGCGGAACCAAAGAGUUAAAUCAGGUACAACAUUGUGCUCUUCAGCGUGUCAUCACCACCCCCGAUGGUGCUGAAUCUGGGGACCACCAGGGAUGACACCGCUGUCUAGGCUACUACUCCUCGUGGGUUUGUUACCUAUAAACCUUGGCUGCACUGGAGUCGUACUGUGGUGUUGUAAUGAUCAAACCUGUGUGUAGUAAAAUUGGUGAUUUAAACUAAAUUACUCUGGACUGAAAUAACUUUAGCCCAGAGGAUUUGUAUAACCUGCUCCUUUGAACUUCCUGAGAUGAGCAGAGAAAAUGGAUCUACAUAAGUUUCAUUUUAUUCACAUAAAGUUUGCUUUUUUUUAACAAGUAUGAAAAAAACCUUAGCAACUUCUAAACAAGAAGGAGUAUUGACUGUUUACCACUCUGGAGCAGUGGCAGUUUCUGGGUGACAUGGGAAACCGCCCUGGGCAGCUUCUUGUAGGGGGUGCCCUUAUUUUCUAAAGGAACACAUUUAAGCUAAUAAUCCAAGGAGCAAACGUCCAGAAACAGAUAUGAACCCAAGAGCUAUAACUCACUAAGACCUCCGUUGGCAUGUUCAUUUUUAGGAAAAAAAAAAUAUAUACUGAAUACCAUUUUACAUGUAUUCAUUCAGUUCAUGUAAUUUCAAAACAUCACACUGAUGUUUCUUCCUAUGGGUUUUCUUCCUAGGGGACAUGGGGAAAAAUAUUUUUGCAUUUGCUUGCAAUGAAUAAAAUCCACCCUGCUCUAUUUUUGUAUGAAGGCACAGUGAUGACAAAUGUCAAUUAAAAA